rnacentral:rRNA from 1 species
UACAGAGGUCCCAAGCGUUGUUCGGAUUCACUGGGCGUAAAGGGUGCGUAGGUGGUUGAGUAAGUCUAAUGUGAAAUCUCCGAGCCUAACUCGGAAACUGCAUCGGAUACUAUUCGGCUAGAGGAUUGGAGGGGAGACUGGAAUACUUGGUGUAGCAGUGAAAUGCGUAGAUAUCAAGUGGAACACCAGUGGCGAAGGCGAGUCUCUGGACAAUUCCUGACACUGAGGCACGAAAGCUAGGGGAGCAAACAGG